ACGCUGGCGGCAGGCCUAACACAUGCAAGUCGAGCGGUAGAGAGAAGCUUGCUUCUCUUGAGAGCGGCGGACGGGUGAGUAAUGCCUAGGAAUCUGCCUGGUAGUGGGGGAUAACGUUCGGAAACGGACGCUAAUACCGCAUACGUCCUACGGGAGAAAGCAGGGGACCUUCGGGCCUUGCGCUAUCAGAUGAGCCUAGGUCGGAUUAGCUAGUUGGUGAGGUAAUGGCUCACCCAAGGCGACGAUCCGUAACUGGUCUGAGAGGAUGAUCAGUCACACUGGAACUGAGACACGGUCCAGACUCCUACGGGAGGCAGCAGUGGGGAAUAUUGGACAAUGGGCGAAAGCCUGAUCCAGCCAUGCCGCGUGUGUGAAGAAGGUCUUCGGAUUGUAAAGCACUUUAAGUUGGGAGGAAGGGUUGUAGAUUAAUACUCUGCAAUUUUGACGUUACCGACAGAAUAAGCACCCGCUAACUCUGUGCCAGCAGCCGCGGUAAUACAGAGGGUGCAAGCGUUAAUCGGAAUUACUGGGCGUAAAGCGCGCGUAGGUGGUUUGUUAAGUUGGAUGUGAAAUCCCCGGGCUCAACCUGGGAACUGCAUUCAAAACUGACUGACUAGAGUAUGGUAGAGGGUGGUGGAAUUUCCUGUGUAGCGGUGAAAUGCGUAGAUAUAGGAAGGAACACCAGUGGCGAAGGCGACCACCUGGACUAAUACUGACACUGAGGUGCGAAAGCGUGGGGAGCAAAC
rnacentral:rRNA from 1 species